rnacentral:rRNA from 1 species
AUUGAACGCUGGCGGCAUGCCUUACACAUGCAAGUCGAACGGUAACAGGUUAAGCUGACGAGUGGCGAACGGGUGAGUAAUGUAUCGGAACGUGCCCAGUCGUGGGGGAUAACUGCUCGAAAGAGCAGCUAAUACCGCAUACGACCUGAGGGUGAAAGCGGGGGAUCGCAAGACCUCGCGCGAUUGGAGCGGCCGAUAUCAGAUUAGGUAGUUGGUGAGGUAAAGGCUCACCAAGCCGACGAUCUGUAGCUGGUCUGAGAGGAUGACCAGCCACACUGGGACUGAGACACGGCCCAGACUCCUACGGGAGGCAGCAGUGGGGAAUUUUGGACAACGGGCGCAAGCCUGAUCCAGCCAUGCCGCGUGCGGGAAGAAGGCCUUCGGGUUGUAAACCGCUUUUGUCAGGGAAGAAAAGGUUCUGGCUAAUACCUGGGACUCAUGACGGUACCUGAAGAAUAAGCACCGGCUAACUACGUG